GACGAACGCUGGCGGCGUGCCUAAUACAUGCAAGUAGAACGCUGAAGGAGGAGCUUGCUUCUCUGGAUGAGUUGCGAACGGGUGAGUAACGCGUAGGUAACCUGCCUUGUAGUGGGGGAUAACUAUUGGAAACGAUAGCUAAUACCGCAUAAUAGCAGUUGUUGCAUUAUAACUGUUUGAAAGGUGCAAUUGCACCGCUACCAUAUGGACCUGCGUUGUUUUAUCUAGUUGGUGGGGUAACGGCUCACCAAGGCGACGAUACUUAUCCGACCUGAUAGGGGGGACGGCCAAACUGGGACUGAGACACGGCCCAGACUCAUACGGGAGGCAGCAGUAGGGAAUCUUCGGCAAUGGACGGAAGUCUGACCGAGCAACGCCGCGUGAGUGAAGAAGGUUGUCGGAUCGUAAAGCUCUGUUGUAAGAGAAGAAAGAGUGUGAGAGUGGAAAGUUCACACUGUGACGGUAUCUUACCAGAAAGGGACGGCUAACUACGUG
rnacentral:rRNA from 1 species